CGCGGCCUAUCAGCUUGUUGGUGAGGUAACGGCUCACCAAGGCAUCGACGGGUAGCUGGUCUGAGAGGACGAUCAGCCACACUGGGACUGAGACACGGCCCAGACUCCUACGGGAGGCAGCAGUAGGGAAUCUUGCGCAAUGGGCGAAAGCCUGACGCAGCAACGCCGCGUGGGGGAUGAAUGCCUUCGGGUUGUAAACCCCUUUCAGCAGGGACGAAAAUGACGGUACCUGCAGAAGAAGCUCCGGCCAACUACGUGCCAGCAGCCGCGGUAAUACGUAGGGAGCGAGCGUUGUCCGGAAUUAUUAGGCGUAAAGAGCUCGUAGGCGGUUCGGUAAGUCGGGUGUGAAAACUCAAGGCUCAACCUUGAGACGCCACUCGAUACUGCUGUGACUUGAGUCCGGUAGAGGAGUGUGGAAUUCCUGGUGUAGCGGUGAAAUGCGCAGAUAUCAGGAGGAACACCAGCGGCGAAGGCGGCACUCUGGGCCGGUACUGACGCUGAGGAGCGAAAGCAUGGGGAGCAAACAGGAUUAGAUACCCUGGUAGUCCAUGCCGUAAACGUUGGGCACUAGGUAUGGGAUCAUAUCAACGGAUUCCGUGCCGUAGCUAACGCAUUAAGUGCCCCGCCUGGGGAGUACGG
rnacentral:rRNA from 1 species